UCUUUUUCGAUCUUCACAGUCCCUCUUGAAGUGCCCCUUUUUAUCACCCCAGUAACAUACGACCUCGCUCGUAUCUCGUCUUCUUGAUUUCGAACACCUUUGCUUACCUUCGAGCUUUCGAUCUUUCCUUCUUCCUUGUCUCUCACUAUUAGCUACCAACGCUUGCUCACGAGACGUCACAAUCAGCUUUCUUAACGUCUCAGAAUCUUGAAGUGAUGCCAUCACAUCAUCCAACUUCAGGGUUUCCUUCCCCACGAGUAAUGCAGUUUCCGGACCAUCAAAUGAAGCUGGUAGAGACGACAAUAGUAGAAGCGCCUUAUCUUCUUCAUCAAUCUUUACGUCGAGGCUCAACAACUGGGUCAAAAUCUUGUUGUAAUCAUUUAUGUGAUAAAAAAGGCUGCUUCCCUCCUUCAUUCGAAGUUGAUACAGUUUCUUCUUCAGAAACAAUUUAUUGGUAAGGGACUUCACCAUAUACCUUUGCUCCAAUUUCUUCCAGAGCUCCAUUGAUGAGGUUUCGUCUAAUACCGAAUACUUAACUUCAUUUUCCAGACACAAUCGGAUUGUGCUAACCGUUUUCAUCUCUAAUUCGAUCCAAUCAUCAUCUUUGAAAUCAUCUGGCUUCUUCCUGAUCAACGGAUUGAUCAAGCCUUGAUGAACCAAAAUGUCCUUCACCGUGCUCUGCCAUAAACUGAAGUUGUUCCGCCCAUCGAACUUCUCCACCUCAAACUUCGAAGUGCCAAUAGCUGCCAUUUUGCUCCGAUUCUCAAUAAACGGACAUCGCCAAUGGCAUCGGGACGGCCGAAAACCUUAAAAAUGGUUCAAAUCGCUCGAAAAACCGACUCGAAAUGGCUCCAAAAAGCCUGGUCAAACUUUUGGUCAACAAAAGUCAACUUUAACGGAAUAUUCUUGCCUCUGACGAAAUAUUUCCUGGCGACAUUAGUGACGCUAUUAACUGCACCGUUUGUUGAUGUGGCAUGUGAAGCCCACUGCUAACAUGGCACUAUGGGGCCCACCUACUAACGCGUAAAUGUGGGGCCUACUGUGGGUCCUAGUUGCUGACGUGGCAUGGCCCCCUGGCUGACGUGGCUGCUGAUUGGACGGUUUAUUGGGCGCCAUGUGGCGCUGACGCGGCACGGGUCCCAGCUAACGUGGCCGUCUUCUACCUCCCGCUCGUUCGCCAGCGCGUGACCGCGCGUAAAGUGACCCGCCAACUGCCCUCUAGCGUGUGAAGGCGCGUGGGUGCACGUGGGGACACAUAGCCGAGUGCAGCAAAGUUGCAGUGUGUGUGUGCAUACAGAGAGCUGCAUUGUGAGAGUUCAGAGAGCUGUGUUGCAAAGAAUGUGUGAUGCUGUGUUGUGAGGCAGAGUGAAGAGAGAGUGAGAGAGGAGUUGAGGGCAGUAGCAUUUUCCUUCUCCUUGUGUAAUUCUCCUGGUGAUUAUAGUGGAUUUGUGCUCUCUCAGUGGACGUAGGUCAUAGUGGACCGAACCACGAAAAUUUGGUCUCACAUUUGUGUUGUGUAAUUUUGCUUGUGCGAUUGCUGUUCGUCGAUCAUUUUUCCCAACAAAUGGUAUCACACUGCUGCAAAUCACCGCAUAUUCCACACACACAUACAUUACAUAUAUAUACACAUAAGAGAGGGAAGAAGUCAAAUAAGAAAGUUGUGAUGUCAACAUGGUAGGUCAAUUGUUGGUGGCCGUCCAUCUCCAGCUUCAACAUUUUUUGCUGGGUGGUGCGGCUGCCGACACCCAUACGAGCCACACAUCUCCUAACAAUCUCCACCUUGGCGAGUAUCAACUCUCAAGUCCACAGCUCCACCUUGUCACGAACUCGAUCAAUGCAAGUCUUCAUAGUUUGGUUCAAACGUCUAAACCAUGCAAAGAGUACCGUCUUUUUCAACAAGCCGAACUCGUCUGUUCAUUCUGACGACGCAUCGCUAUCAUCAUCUGAGGUCGAACCACCAACCACUGUGGUUCCUAUCAACUGAUACAACCCACGAGACUCCUUCCCAGUAAAUAUUAUUGAGUCACGUCGUGUCACGUCCAUAGCUCCACCUGCGACAGAUAUUUUACAACCCUUAGAAUCCAACCGACUAAGAGAGAUCAAAUUUCUUCUACCUCUAGGAAUCGUGACAUUAAAUGUUUUAAAUGUCAAGGCAGGGGACAACACAGUCUGCUAGAUAAACUUUUCUCAGAACCAAUAUAGGUGAGGUCUGAAAUAUCUCUUUGCGCUUUGUUAAAUCAUUGGGAUGCACACACACAAAGAAAAAAAAAAUCAUCAAAUUUAAGCAAAAGGGUCUUUAAAACAUUCCUUGAUUUUUCCAAAAUUUUAUUAAAAUUUUCUAAAAUUUUCCAACAUUUUUUCUAAAAUGUUCUAGGAUUUUUAAAGAAUUUUUCUCAUUUUGUAGUAUUUUUUAUUUUUUCAUUUUUUUUAUUAUUUGAGUCAAAAUAACUCAACUAAUUUUUAUUUAUUUUUUAUAAUUUUUAAAAUAUUUUUAUUUAUUUUUUCAGUUUUCAAAAAUUAAAAAAUCAUGUAAAAAUAAAUAAAAUAAAAUAAGUAAAAUGGUGGUUCAAAAAUUGGACCGAUUCAACCGGUCUAAAUCGAGUCUAGCCCGGUUGGGCUUUGUGGGUCACGUGUCCACCCACAGUGGUGACACGUGACACGUGCUGACGUCACCCGUCAUGUGGCAGCCUUUCUAUUUUUUUUUUCUAAAAAAAAUUGUAGUAAGGUGACGUUAGUAUGACGUCACUCACCACGUGAUAGAAUUAGUACAAUGUGAGAUUUUACCCAUAUGAUUCCUUAUUUGACUUCUUCCCUUUCCCAUGUGUAUUUAUAUGUAAUGUGUGUGUGUGUGGAAUGUGUGGGGAAUUGCAGCAGUGUGUGGUGAGUUGCAGCUGAGUGCAGCAAAGUUGCAGUGUGUGUGCGCAUGCAGAGAGCUGUGUUGCAGAGAGUGUGUGGUGCUUCUACUUUUGUACAAAGAGGCAUGUCUAAAUACUAACGAACUUGACUUUGCUUUGCCUAGUUCUGUUGUUUCACUUUUGCAGGAGUAUGAGGAUAUCUUUUUCGAGGAAACACCACAUGGGUUACCUCCAAUUCGAGGGAUUGAACAUCAAAUUGAUUUUGUUCCUAGUGCGACAAUUCCCGACCAACUAGCCUAUAGGAGCAAUCCUGAGGAGACAAAGGAGCUUCAACAGCAGAUAAGUGAGUUAUUGGAAAAAGGGCACGUGAGGGAGAGCAUGAGUCCAUGCGUCGUUUCGGUCUUACUGGUACCUAAGAAGGAUGGGACGUGGAGAAUGUGCGUUGAUUGCCGAGCCAUCAACAACAUAAUGGAUUUCUUCGAGAUCGAGCUUUGAGAGCUCGAGGUUUUUGUAGCAUUAUUGGGAAUUAGGAAAAGAAAAUGGAGCCCCUGAUAGGAGAGCGGGAAAAGCCCCGCUGAUCUAGAUCAGUUGUUUGCCCUCUUUGGAAGGGUAAGUUUUUGGUAGGGACAGUUAGGUUUUGUGGGGAUUGUCCCUAGAUUUCAUUUUUGAGAUGUAUAUACUGUGAGAUAGUAAUUGUAGUGACUCUGGUAUGUGUUAUGCACAUUAUGAUGAGAUGUAUAUGAUUUUAUACUUUCUGCUG